GGGAAGCAACAUUAUAAAAUGUACAGUAUCAUCCCGGGGACCUCUUUCCCAGGCUAUCCCUGUCCCCCGAAUCUGUAGUCUCACUGCGCUUGAAUGGACCGUCGGGGGAGGCGACUGUCUCGUCACCUCUAGAGGGAGUGGGUGCAGUAAAAGUUUUGAGCUGUGCCUCUGGGCCUGUACAGCCUAUGGCCUAAGUCAGUGUCGUAACUGGAGAUUGAG